CCACCAUCACUGAUGGGGUUGGCCUUGACCAGAGGUGGGUCCGACUUGGAGCCGGGGAAGCUUCUCGCAGCUUCUCACAGGAGCCACCCCUGUGGCCCCCUCUCCUGCUACCAAGAAACCCCGCCACACAAACCCAUAACAGGCACAAUGCCAAGACGGUUGUAUUAAACGGUCUCUGCAGAUCCCUUCAAGUUCUGAAUUUCCAAUUUCUAACAAAUACCACAGCUAGCUAGCUGUGUUCAUACAAUAGCUAGCUCCCUUUGUGAAUAACUUGUAAGAAAGAGAAAAUACUUAGAGCCCACUGAGCCCAGUACCCUGAAGCCAGCAACACUAGUUACAGGUGCCUUAAGAAAAAGAUGAGUGCGGGGCAAAUGUAAUCUUCCUCCCUUUGCAUUCAAACCUUUUCAAAUUUACUGCCUUUUCAGCAGUGCAGACUUGACCUGUACAACAUGCUGAAGAUGUGAGCUCCAUAGCUCAAGAUCUCUUUUCUCUCUCUCUCUUUUUUUUUUUUUUUUUUUUUAAUCUGCUAAUAGGCUUAUUGACCUCUUUAUCUUUUUACUAUGAACAAAACCAGUGGACAGUUACUCUUUCCCCUUUUCCAUGUCAUUUGUGUUAUUAUAGACUUCCAGCAUAACUGCUUUGUCCCCCGAAGUAACAGUGUUGCUUGUACUACGUUGAUUUAAAGUUUAGCACUGUAAAAAUGUGAAAGCACAUCUGCUUUUAAUAACUGGAGGCUGAAAAUUGCAAGAUUACUGUACUUUCUGAGGUAAUAAUUGCAAUUUUACAGUUUCUACAAAAUGUUUAAAAGUUAGCUUCUGCACUUACAGUGUGGAACACAAGUUAGAAGCAAAAAAGCAUGCUGCUUCAGUUUGAGUAUGUUUUGCUAAAGAACAUAGACACUAUUUUAUAUAGGCACUCAUAUUAGUUAUGUAUCAUCCCUAUUUUUAUACACGUUAGCCAUCUUGGUCAAACCGAAAGACUUACUCUUGCUUAACAUCAAGAUGAACACACAUUGAAGGAUUCACCCACAAGCUGCAUUAACCUUUAUCUCAUUAACAGAGAAAAGCAUUUUCAAUAUGAUUAAAAUCAAAAGCCCGGCAGUAAAAACUUAGGCAUUUUUAACUCUUAAACCCUUUCUUAUGCAAACUUACCCUUCAGGCCUUUAAAAUGUUGUUUGUAUCCACUUGUUUUUUUCUAUUGCCCUUCUGCUUGUACAUGCUAGAAGCAGGCUCAGCAGCAGCCAGUGUGUUUUCCUGUCGGUAGAGGUCUAACCUAUAAAUGAAACCAGACAAUAUUGUAGAUGGUAAAUAUGAUACAGGGUGAGAAAGACUGAAGGGCCCGGGGUAUUAUUAACAAUAUGUGUGUGUGUGUCUGUCUGUCUUUAGACAGACAGUAGGUGUGAUCACCACCGCAGGCCAUUUCACGCUGUCUCAGACAAGACUGUGAAAGCACCUUGCAGUGAAUUGUCAAAAAUCAGUAGGACUGCUUCUGUUCUUCAGCAGUCCUUGCCAAGAAGUGAAGCAUCAAAGGCGCACGCACAAACACAUGAAAUAUCUUUCUGUCUCAUAAAUGUUCCUGCUAGCGAGCUUUGAACCAGGCUGGAUGGCUGGAAGCAACCAUGUUAGAGAUGAACUGGAUGGUUUUUGUUGAUAGCACUUUUUCUUUUGAUAGGAAGACAUGGGUCUAUUGACAGAAUUUCAAACCAGUUGUUUUCAAAGCAUUAAGUUUUACUUUCAGACACCACUUUAUAAUCAUGCUUUAAUACUAUUCAAAUAAUUGACUAUGGCUAUUUCUAUUGCCUCCUGUGUGUGCUCAAGUACAGUAGAGAGAAGUGCCAGAAUAAGAUGUCUGUGCUGUCUGAUUUGGGAACUCCAGUCUGCAUACAAGAGCAGGAAGGGGUGUAUUCUAAUGUAUGCUAUUGAUAGGGUUUGUGGGAGAUCCCCCUGUAGAGAUAUGUUUUCCUGUGCCCCUCCCUUGCCUCAGUUAACCUGUGAACACCCUUUUUUUUUCACUUUAUGCUGGACAUAACCUUUUUUUUGCAUACAAAAGGUGUUUUGAACAAGAAGCAGCAGGGGUGCUUUUGCCAGGUUUGUGCCAUCAAAAGUACACCAGACAAGGAGAAUUUUUCCUGAAAUCUGUAGCUGGUGAGGGAUCAUUUUGCAUAGCUGUAGUGUAGCCUUAGUAAGUGGAACGCCUGGGCUAAUUUUAGUGGAACUACUUUGUAUGUAUUUCAGGUAUAUCUGGCAGCAGUUUUGUACCUCCAUUUAAACAAAAAGGAAAAAGAAAAUUCUGGAGGACCCUUUGCUUAAAAUUUUCAGCAGGUUGACUAUUAUAUUUUGUAGCUACCUCCAGCAGGAAUUCUGAAAGUUCAAUAGUACAGACUGGGUAGGUAAACAUAGAGAUGUAUAAGUAAUGUAGAAAAAAUUCUGUUUCACAUACUCUGGUUAACAUAGUCACUGAGUGUAUAUAUAUAUGGUUCAUGAAUUUACUGAGGAGGUAGCCUCCUGUCCAGUUGUCAGAAUUCUUCUGAGUUGAACUGUGGGACAUGGGUUUUGACUAACUUAAUGAAGGCUAUUCCACAACGAACAUUACCAGGGAUGACACCGUAUCUCAAUAAUUGCUCUCUGAGUGAAAAAAUAGAUUAUUUCAGAUCUCUACAAAAAAUGAGAGAUGAGGUGUAGAAUGCUACUUGCCGUGUGAAACUGCAGACAAUGCCAGUGAAGGUGCAAGAAGAUAUCAGCCCUAGAGGCUGUGCUGUGAUCAAAGUCUGGAAAAUCCUGGGUUCUGAGGAGGAUCAUCAGGGAAAAUACGGCGGGCGCCUGAAAAAGGCUCCAUCCUGGCAAGGUGCCAUAUGUAUAUCAGGAAUGCUCUGGUGUUUUAUCUUGUUGCUGUUGCAGAGUGAUUAGCAGCAAUGGAACUUCUUACUCAGUAAAGCAUUCCCCAUGAGGGUAGAGUCACAUGCACUGUUAGGACCGGGAAGUUUUGUACACAUAAACACGUGCACAUGGAAUCACAGAAUCACAGAAUGGUUGAGGUUGGAAGGGCUUCUGGAGGCUGAACUUGUGCCAAUGUUUUGUGUUUUUCAUUAUGAAAGACAACAUCAGUUAAAAGUCAACUCUAUGAAACAAAACAAAGUCCAGCUCCCUCUGUUCUGUACAGCAUAUAGAAUAAUCCCUGCUGUUAGCAGUGACUAAAAAUAUGUGGAGGAAUCAAAUCUGUUUAGUCAGUAAGUGACUGUAACAGGCUUUCAGAUACAUAGCUACUACUAACAGGGCGUUCUGGGAUAGCAGUAAACUACAGUAAUCUAGUGUUAACAAACAGUAAACAGUGGUAGAUACAGUGUUUUAAGUGUGAAUCACGAAGUGCAAACUAACCAUUGUGUUCUAGGAAAAAAUAUAUUUUGACGUUGUUUCUUCCCUCAUUUGUAGUAGUUGGCAAAAAUCUAAUCUUUGCACAAAGACUACUUCUUCAUCUACCACAAGUUUUGUGAUGCUCUACAAUACUAGUGUCUGAUGUUGACUGGUGUUAAGCAACUGUGUGACCUUUCUAGAAGUCAGCCAUGCUGCUUUGUGCCUCUCAGGGGUCAAGCCCAGAGCAUUCACAAGGCUUCAGAAGCAGUAUUGCCGAUGACUUCUAAAACAAAUUAAUUUUCAUUGUAACUGUGGCCCAAACUGUGCAAAAUUUUCUCACAUCCCUAAUUCACUGGAGUCAUCAAGACCAUUCAUGUGAGCAAUUUACUGAGCUUCAUUUGUCUUGCUCUGUGCUGUAGAUAUUGGGCUGCUAUUUUCUUCUCCCAUACAACUUCUUUUCAACUAAAACUCUAGUUUUAAAUCUCAUUUGUGUUAACAAAGGAAUUCCUUUUAAAGUAUCAUCCAGUUAGGCAUAUUCUUUUAAGGAAUAUAAUUUCCCACUUGCAUGUUAUUCUGAGCUUGCAAAGUGUCUUCUGACAGUAAAAAGUUGAUCUCGGAUUCUCACUUAGAACGAGUAAGCAUAGAUCCAGUGCCUGCAAGAUAUAUCAAAUGAAAAGGGCUGUCUGAAUAAUAGAAGAGAAAAAAUAAUCUACCAUUCUUCGGUACAGAUUUGCAAUUUCAGCAGCAGAUGGCUCAGAUACAGCAGGGUCUGCCUAUAUGAAUAGCAACAUUGUUAUUCAUCUAUCAGCCUCAUUACACCUAGGCAGUCUGUCUGUGCCCUGUUACAGGCACCCUAUUGUAACCCGAGAAUACAUUUUGAUCAAGAUGUAUAAUCCUGGCAUUAAAUAAGAACAUUUUAAAAUGGGAUUUUUGUGAGGAUGAUUAACAUGGCAUCCCAAAUUCUGAUCCUACUGUGAUGAGAAGAAGAAUGAAUUCUUCACCACUGCAUUUUGAAUCUUGGCACCUUGAGACAUUCUAGUGACUCAGAAGGCUGGAUUUGCUUACUUAUCUGCAUAUUGAAUUUCAAGACCAAUGAUAGACCUUGAUGAUAGAAAAAUAGUCUGUAAUCAUCGGAAAGAUUCUCAUUAAAAUAAUGACAUUGCAAAAAGCUUUAAUAGCAAAUGAGGAAGUAUCAACUUCUUUGAAGUGCAUAGAUUCAGUACUAGACAGAGGAGGGGUUAUGGCUAGCUUUCAUUUAGUAACUGAACUGAAAUAGAAGCAGGGAACGUAUACAACUGGAAUUAGGGCACAGUGUGUUUAAGGUUUUCAAAGAAGAUUAAAAAUAUCAGGAUUUGCAUUUGUUAUACAAUCAGGCAAAAUGUAGGGCCAGGGGAAGCUACCUUUUAAAAGAUGCCUACUUGGUAUUUUUAGAUCUUAAUAAAGCCUUUAAAUUUCUAUUCAAAACAUAUUUGUUUAACACAUUUGUUUAAGAAGCUGAAUCAGUUUCUGGGAUUUGUAGUGACUGAAAUUUCCAACCAUUUGCUUUCAGACAUGCAUUUGCAGGAACACCCAGUAUGGAUGAAAAGCAGUGAACAAAUUAGGAAUAUAAACAAAGACUGAGGAGUGGGUUGUCAGAAAGUGGAAGGUGGCCACCAGCUGCAGUAAGUGGAGCCAGGACUAUCUGUUCCCCCUUAGAAAUUUACCCUUUAGAAAGUAGCCUUGGUGUACUGGAAGAGAACAUGAGAUAUAUAUCAGAAAACAGCUCUGAGGGGUGAGAACAGAAUCUAGAAUAAAGAUUUUCGUAUACACAAACACUCAUAACUGAAAAACUCAAAGCUCAGAAGGGCACUGACUGGAGAGUACUGAGAUAGGGAAGCAAGUCAUCAGAGACUUAAAGACAGGGAGGGGAUCUCAAGUGGCUGUGCUGCAGAAAAUGCCUGUUUGGCUCUCACCUAAGAUAUAAGCCAUCAAAGAAGGCUCAUAUCAAAGUAAAGCUCACAAAUUUGUGAGCACACCAAGAAGAAAAUAUUUCCUGGUGAGGCUAAUGGGGAAGAGAAAGCAAUUUCAACAGUAGCUUAGUAGUGACAGGACAAAGUAGUUGUAAUUAAAUGGUAUGAAUGAUAAAUGUUUAAGCCACGUUGUUCAGCAAAGAGAACUACUGAGGUGGUUUCUGUUACAUAGUUUGGCAUAUAUGUCUUUGAUCUGUGUACCUUUUACAACUAUCAAAAAGCAAUUUGGCCAUCCAAGCAGCCAGCUUCACAAGAAAUUGCUCUAGUGAUUUACUGUUUAAGGUUGGACAAACCAACUACCCUUGUUUUAUGUUGCUGAAUUCUAACAUAGGUGUGGAAGCAUCUGUGCGUUUGACAGAAUGGUUGAGGUUGGAAGGGACCUGUGGAGAGCAUCUGGUCCAACCCCCCUGCUCAAGCAGGGUCACCUACAGCCAGUUGGCCAGGACCAUGCCCAGACAGCUUCUGAAUAUCUCCAAGGAUGAAGAUCCCACAACUUCUCUGGGCAACCUGUGCCAAUGCUCAAAGCCCUUUCUAUGGUGAUUUCUACACAACAGCCCUGCUAUAUCUGGUUGUGUGGACAAACAUGGAUUUCAACAACCAAAUGCAAUGCAAGUUAAUGAAGCACACUAUACCCAUAAGUGAAAGAAAUUUGUAUUUCACCUGCUGGAAAUUCCAAAAUAGAAGUAUCUAAAGAAAAGUGUGCUUGAAUACUAUGACUCUGGCCAUGCACGUUUUCAUCAGCAACUGAAGCACCAUAGUCUCUUCAGAUGAUAGGAAGAUCAGCAUGUCUCUUCACAAAACCAAAGUGAAACUCAUGGACAGCUAGAAAUUUCAGGGAAAUCUAAUUUUAUACUCCAGUGUGUGAAAUAUAAUUUAUGGGGUGGGGGUGAUGGUACGCAUUACAUCAAGGUGACGUGCUACUAAGAGGAAGAAUUCAGAUGACAAUUUCUCCAGAAAAACCUGACUAGACAUUCUGGCAAAACACUGUUUCUUUGUUUAUAGUAAUUCUUCCAUUCGGCCUGUUGUGGACCUUACUGAAAAUUUCCAGAGGCUUUCAAUGAUUAAGGAGUAUAUAUUUUUUUUGCUUUCAAUGGGUUAUAAAAACUAUCCUUUAAAAAAAAUAAAGAAAUAUCCAAAUUAUUCCUUGUUUUUUCACAGAAAAUAGUCUUCCUCUUGCCCUUGCCCUCCUGUGACUGUAGAACAUGAAGCUCUUGUAUCUACUCUACCUCAGCUGUGGUAUUUAAGUAAUGGGCUGAAAGUGAAAAAUGGGGCUAAGAGGAAAAGAAAAUUUACUGUAGCUAAAACCAGUGAGCUUUAGUUGAUUUAUUUUUGGUUGUUAGCAUUGGGGUUUUUUUGUUGUUGUUGUUUUCAAAAUUGAAACUAAUCUCAUGAGGCAAACUAAGGUGAAGUGGCUUGUCCAAAGUCACCCAAGACACAGCCCUGGUCUCCUGGAGCACAGUUUAUUGAUGUCUGUCCACCCCUUACAGUGGUGGUUACUACAGCACCUGCCCCAAGAGUAAGAGGGUAGGGCUGUAUUUCAAGGCUGCAUCAGUCUAAGGUAGUUUUAAUCUGUAUUUCAGGAAAACACCUCAGCCACCGGGUACUGUGAAUUCAGACUGAGUUUGUUUUUCAUGCCUCCCUUGAAGGCUGGCCAUGCUAUUACUUGAAGAUUAAAGUCAAAUAGUCAACAAGGCAGCAAAUAAGAAGGCAAUCAAUUCUAGUCCUGUUGCUGAAGCAAGUAGGGUGUAGGUUCAGCCCAACAAUAUUGAUGAAUCUUGACAGCUGUUCUCCCACUUAGGGUUAUAGCCUCUGGUUUUGAACCAGGGACAGUCUAGGGUAAAAUACAUGCACUUGCCUGGUAGCAGAGCAUGAUAUCCCCCACUGUGCCCUCUUUCAGAUGAGAGCACACAGAGUCCUGCUUGCCUACUACACUUCUGGCCCCGUGACUGGCAUUGUUGACUGCAUGGCCUUAGGAAGGCUGGAGAGUGCCCCCUCUUCCACUUCAACCCUCCCAAAAGGGCCUUCACCUGCUGCUUAAGAUACACUUCUACAAGUUGGAAGAUGUUGUUUCACUUCCUGAUAUGAAAAAUGUCUUGCUUUCUUCUGCUGCUCCCAACAUUUUAACAUCACUGGGAGACUCUUUGGUUGUACUUUAGGAUAAUGAAAAUAUUUGCAGACAUGCAAAAACAUGCUCUGUAUGGGCUUUAGAGGAUGACUACUUUAGAAGAUGCAGUGAGGAUAAGACAAUGAUACAUAAUUGCAGCUAAUUUUUUUGGUUGUCAGGUUUUAGUGUCUUAUUUUAGGCCUAUUGCUAUGGUUUUGAUAGAUUUCAUUGGAAGAUUACAUGCUGGUGCAACAGCUUUUUGAUAAAAAUUGUCUUUAGUUGGUUGGAAUGGAAUUUAGGGCUUAAACAAGCUAAAGAAGAACUCAAAUUUCAAGGCCAGGUCAGACAAUCAUGUAAAUCUACAGCUAUCACUUUUUAAGAGACUGAAAUGAUAACGACCACACUUCAAUUGUUUCAUGAAAGAUCUUCAAGCAAAGCUUAUUUUUUUUUUCCCUUUGGAGAACUGGGAUUUCUUUAUCUUAAUGAAAUUCUUGUCUAUGGCACUGGUCUUUCUCCUUUCCUCCCAUAAAGCAAAAAAUUACCCUUUUUUUCCCAGCUAUAACCUACUCUGCAAAUACAAACAUAUGCACAUUCUGAAGACUUACUGCACUCCUACCAAGGUAAAAAAACCCCUUCGUUGAGCUGUUGCGGCACUGGAAUCUUGGGCAAAUGCAAAAAAGGAAGACUUUGUAUCCAGUGAGGCUGGUUGCAGCUGUGCUGGAAUUGUCCAGCGAUACAGGGAAAAUUAUUGUUUGUUAACAAAAUCUGAAGCUACUGCUUUAGUUCAAUAUUUGGUUCAAUCCAAACUGCUCUAACAGUUGUACAACAUGAAGUUUUUAUACAUACACAAAAAUUCAGAUGUGAAUGUGGAGCAAUUUGGGUUUUUUCUUCUAUCUGACCUUGGUGAUUAGCAGGUGGACAGCAUCUGAUUUUUGUAUGUUUAAAAAAACCUAGAAAUGUUUAGUCUAUCCAUGUAAACUCUUAAGAAAAAAAUCCCCUCAUUUUCAAAAAACUUUUCUGCAUGAAAUUUUGAUGCUUCUGUAGAAGUGUUUUGGGGUUAGGCAGAAUAAUUUGGCUUAUAGCUGCCAAUUGAAAUAUGAAGUGUUUAGAAAAAAAUGUGCAUAUUUAAUCUCUCAUGGUUUUCAGAGAAGCAUCUGCAGUUUGUUUUAUUGUAGUAUUUAGAUACAUAUUCAAGUUCUUUCUUCAGCAAGUCCAUCUUUCCUUCGUAGCUAAAACUGGCAUAUAAAUUUACAUAGACAAUAUACAGACUGGUCUAGACAAGAAGCAUGACAGAUAAUUUGGACCAGAGAUAACUGGAUCUUGAAAGGUGAUCAUAGAAAUGUCCAGGUAUAGGUAAAGCCCCUUAACAUGGAUAGGAUACGUAUUUUCACUUGGAGCAGAAAGCUGAAUGACAGUCUGUGUUUCUGAAUGUUUUGUAAAUAUUUUGGACCUCUGCUGUAGUUUGCAAAACUAUUUGUAGAAAUCUUCUCUGCAGCAGACACACCUGGAAGAUCGCCAACCCUGUCUGCUGGACCCAGAGCCAGGAAUCACAUGCUUUUCCUGCCUAUGCCCUAGUUCAGUUUCUGAUUCGUUUUAUCUUUCUUUUUUGUUGUUGUUUUAAAUCUCCCCAAACCUGUGUAUCCUGUGUCUUACCUCAUCGAUAGUUUAGGACAUGGUAUGGCUUCACAAAAAAACCCAGAAAAUGUGGUCAUUUUUAAGUGGUUUCUUGGUAUGCAGAACUCAAGGUUACACAACUAAAAACUGCAUGUACCGAGCUUUGUUUUGCAUGUGAGGAAAUGUAUCAAGCAUUAAGUGUGAGACUGACCGCUUCGGCCUGAACCCGCUUUCUGUGCUACCUCCUUCGGCGCGGGACUGGGCGGCAGAGUCCCGGGGUCUCGGGUGUUUAAAAGCAGUCUGUGGGAAGGGUGACCGCCGGAGGGGUCCUACCCGAUGCAGCCAGGCCAGGGGAGAAAGCGUGGGCUGUUUGAGACGACCUGUACAGAUACGGUAAUUAAUUCCUGCGCUCGCCCCUCUUCACAGAGGCCGCUCAGUCGGGGCUUUCGGCAGCUUCUCUGACGUGAGCUCCCCAAACUGCCAGGGCUCCCCCCUGCCCAAGCAUCUAUUCAGUGUUGAUCACUGAAUGUGCACCUUGUGGAAAGCAGUCACGGCUCCUCUGUGUUGUAAAAGCAAAGUACAAAAGACUGGGUUUGCUCCAUCGAGGGUAUCGCCUCUGUACAUCAGCAGGCUGGUGGCUGAAACACCUGUGGCUGCGUUAUUGCGCUCUCCCCAGAAAAUAUGCUGCUCCUGGCAGCAUCCUGACUAGUGAGGCUCCUCCGGCAGUACUGACACCUUCUCGGCAUCCCGUAUGGGUCAGAAAUGCAAUAGACAUAAUGGGAAAGUUUGGAGUAACUUUCAAUUUUGUGUUUGUAUUUUAAAUUUUUUUUUUUUUUAAGUGGUGAACAAGUCGUUGAGAUGGAGAAGUACAGCAUUUUACACAGCACCAUAUUGAUUACUGUAGAUAAGAAACGUGUUGUCUUAUUUGGGCUUUCCCUGGUGGCAGUUUAAAAGCGUUUAAAGAGGCUGCUGCUGGCCGCCCCUGAGGAGACAGCCCCCUUGGUAAUUCAGCUUGGUUGGUGCCAGCUGUGGUACCUGGCACCCUGCCUCAGAAAAAUCCUGUUGGCAAUUUAAAGAACCUGCUGUUGCAUCCCACAGCAUGAGGUGAGUUGCUGCUCCCAUUCUUUUGGGUAGAAAAUGGUUAAAAGCUCCCCAGGAGUGGGCUGGGUGGGUUAGGCAGGCAGCCCAGGUGGGAGGCAGGAGGUCUGCCAUUAUGGAGGGGAGAUAGGCUUAGUGCUGCUUGUCCUCUUGAGGGUGAGGGGUGUGUUGUGUGGCCAAAAGCAGAAAGUUCACAGCAGCGUGUGGUUGUGGGGAAGGGGUGGGGGCACCAUGGAGCCCUGACGGCUGCUGAGAAACGGUGUGGGGGCAGCCUCGGACUGGCAUGGUGGGGCGGCGGCCAUGUUGUAUUGCAUAUAUGCCGGCCCUGGGGCUGAGACCACCUGUGUGAAACCAAACUGUCCAUGGAGCGUUGGCCUCCUGCCUGCAAACUGAGUUUGCGUGUGGCCUUGUGUGCCUCGUAAUCGGUAAGGGUAUGGGAUGGUACAGCUGUUAAGGAGUAGGGGCAUCUAGAACGUGCUAAUUUUUUGCUUUUUGCCUAAACCCAGUGCGUUUCCUUGUCUACCUGUGAUGUCCCCUACGGCAUAGUGCACUAAGGCAGGGGUGGUGUGGGGGGAAGAAGAAACCUGUAAGUCUUUCAUGGAAAAAUAUUCUCCUCUUUCCAGCUAGCUCAAUGGCUUACCUUUAUUAACUUGGAUAAUUUGUUUCAUCCCACAUUAUUUUAAAGACAAACUGACAUAACUGGACUCCAGUUCAGUAAAUCUCAAACUUACCUCAGUUAGAUUUAUGGAACAAAAUCAUUUAUAUAUAAAGCAGCAUUUUAUGUGCUAACAUGAAUAUGGAAAUCUGGGAAAGGAAAAUAUGAAUUCCGAUACUUGAUCUCCUUGAAAUCCUGCAAGUAUAGCUAUAGUGUAUUUCAAAUAACUGCCUUACUGAGGGAAAAUGUCUUAUAUUAUUCAAACCCCUGCUACCUGAUUUGAAUUUAUGACUGUCUAAAUAUGCUCUGUGGCUGAAUUACAAGGCAUGUGUGUAUAUUAAACCUGGUGACUGUGGGAAGUAAGUAACAGUGAUAUGCAACUUAAUGAUCAAAACCAAGAGCUGAUGUGACCAAUGGACUCUAAUAGAUGUAAGUAGUUUGAGUGCUUGUCAUCUAUCCACAUGAUCCUAGUGUUGGCAGCCUGUUGAAAGUGAUGCGUGGGAAACUAGUGCAAAGUGUUGAUUUAUUUUAUGCUAAUGGGGAAAAGUCCAUAUUGUUCAAAUUAAAUCCUAAAGCAGAAACAAAUCAUGCAGCCAAGCCCAUCCUAUGGAGUUUCAUUGAAACAGUUAGUGGUCUCUUUCGUGACCUCAGAGUUGUAAAAAUGAAACAAUGUUAGGGGGCUGCUGUUUUCAAGUGCUUCUGGCUGCUGAAAGCAGCUGAGGUUCUCCUACAGAUGGCUAUUUAAGUUAA